CAGGCGCAAGCGCGUGCGCAGUGCUCUCUGCUGCAGACUGUCCUGCAAGCCCUGCAGACAGCCCCCGCCAGCACCGCUCUCUCUCAGGAACAGACUAUUGCCGUGGCUGCUCAUCGCGUCUCUGCGGGGGACAGAAGAAACCAGACCUGGUGCACCUAUGCAGGUCAGAGACAACUUUUGGGAGUCCAUUUUCUUCCUCCAUCAUGUAAGUCCCAGGGAUUAAAUUUAGGACUUUAGGUUUGAUGGCAAGCACCUUUACCCACUGAGCCAUCUUGUAUCCUUGUGCUAGGCCCUAAAAGUAAUGUAGAGAUGAGUUAAAUAUAUAAUAAAGCAAGAAUGGGUCCUUCGCAAAUACGAUGCCAUUUCAUGUAAAAGACUUGCGCAUACAGGGGUUUCAGAGUCUAUCCAGGAUGGAAUGUGUACCUGGAACAAAGUCCCCACGGAGUUUAAGAGACCUAAAAACAUCUAAAUCAGAGGGAGUUGGCAUGUGAUAGUCUGUGAGCAAAGUCGGGCCUGAUGUCUGUUUGGCUGGCAUUUUUUAAUCAUGGUAUUAGCACACAGCUCAUUCAAGUCAUUGUGUUUCUGCAGCUGCUUUCAGGCUGCAGUGGCAAGGACAAGUUGCUGAAAUAGAGAUCACAAAACAAUUUACAAAAGUGACUCUAACUUUACAAAAGUGAGGAGUGGAGAGGACCACAUGGCUUGUGGACACUGGAUAAUUGCUCCCACUCACAGGGCAUAGUAAAAUCUUCCAGAACAUGAAGGUAAUGCAGGAUGCCAGAUCAAGUUCCCCAACACUCCCAUCCCCAUUAAACACUUGGCACUCCUUUGUGCUGGGAGCAUUCAAACGGCUGUCUUCUAAUCCUUUAUAAAAGAAUAAACUGUUGAGUACUAU